rnacentral:rRNA from 1 species
UCCGGUUGAUCCUGCCGGCGGCCACCGCUAUUGGAAUACGAUUAAGACAUGCGAGUCGAGAGACAUUAUGGUCUCGGCGAACCGCUCAGUAACACGUGGAUAACAUGCCCUAAGGUGGGGGAUAAUCUCGGGAAACUGAGGAUAAUACCCCAUAGGUCUUCUAUGCUGGAAUGCUCGAAGGCCGAAAACUCCGGUGCCUUAGGAUUGGUCUGCGGCCUAUCAGGCAGUAGUGGGUGUAAUGGACCCACUAGCCCGUGACGGGUAUGGGCCUUGAGAGAGGGAGCCCAGAGAUGGACUCUGAGACAUGAGUCCAGGCCCUACGGGGCGCAGCAGUCGCGAAAACUUCGCAAUGGGGGCAACCCCGACGAGGGGAUUCCAAGUGCCAGCACUUUGUGUUGGCUGUUCUCUUGUCUAAAAAACAAGAGGAGUAAGGGGCGGGUAAGACGGGUGCCAGCCGCCGCGGUAAUACCCGCGCCCCAAGCGGUGGUCGAUAUUAUUGAGCCUAAAACGUCCGUAGCCGGUCUUUUAAAUCCUUGGGUAAAUCGGGCAGCCUAACUGUCCGACUUCCGAGGAGACUGGAAGACUUGGGACCGGGAGAGGUCAGAGGUACUUCUGGGGUAGGGGUAAAAUCCUGUAAUCCUGGAAGGACCACCGGUGGCGAAAGGCGUCUGACUAGAACGGAUCCGACGGUGAGGGACGAAGCCCUGGGGCGCAAACGGGAUUAGAUACCCCGGUAGUCCAGGGUGUAAACGCUGCAGGCUUGGUGUUGGGGGGUCCUUCGGGGGCGCCCAGUGCCGGAGAGAAGUUGUUAAGCCUGCUACUUGGGGAGUACGUCCGCAAGGAUGAAACUUUAAAGGAAUUUGGCGGGGG